AUGGAGUCCCGGGCCAUUAGUCCCGGCGAGACGGCGCUGCCGUACGCGUACGCGCCGCUGGCGCCCUCCGACGUCGCGGAGGAGCGCCGGGGCGGCGGCGGCGGCGGGGUGAGGUGGCGCGCGUGCGUGGCCGUGCUGGCCGCGUCCGCCGUGGUGGUGCUGGUCGUGGCCAGCGCGCUGGCCGGGUCCGGCAGGGUGGACCGGGUCGUGGGCGGCGACGUGGUCGCGGACAUGCCGCCGCUGGCGGAGACGGCGCGGAGCCGCGGCCGGGACGCCGGCGUGUCGGAGAAGACCUCCGGGGCGGCCGACGAGAUGGUGGGGCUCCUUGGCGCCGGCGGCGACGCCGACGGGUUCCCCUGGAGCAACGCCAUGCUGCAGUGGCAGCGCACCGGCUUCCAUUUCCAGCCCGAGAAGAACUGGAUGAACGAUCCCAACGGUCCCGUGUACUACCGCGGAUGGUACCACCUCUUCUACCAGUACAACCCGGAGGGGGCGGUGUGGGGGAACAUCGCGUGGGGCCACGCCGUGUCCCGCGACCUCAUCCACUGGCGCCACCUCCCCCUCGCCAUGGUGCCCGACCAGUGGUACGACAUCAACGGCGUCUGGACCGGCUCCGCCACCGUGCUCCCCGACGGCUCCCUCGUCAUGCUCUACACCGGCUCCACCAACGCCUCCGUGCAGGUCCAGUGCCUCGCCGUCCCCGCCGACCCCAACGACUCCCUCCUCCGCAACUGGACCAAGUACGAGGCCAACCCCAUCCUCGUCCCGCCGCCCGGCAUCGGCGACAAGGACUUCCGCGACCCCACCACCGCAUGGUUCGACGAGUCCGACAAGACCUGGCGCACCGUCAUCGGCUCCAAGGACAACCAUGGCCACACCGGCAUCGUCAUGACCUACAAGACCAAGGACUUUAUCAACUACGAGCUCAUACCCGGCCUGCUCCACAGCGUCCCCGGCACCGGCAUGUGGGAGUGCAUCGACUUCUACCCCGUCGGCGGCGCCGAUGGAUCGGAGGAGCUGUACGUGAUGAAGGAGAGCAGCGACGACGACCGCCACGACUGGUACGCGCUCGGGAGGUACGACGCCGCGGCCAACAAGUACACGCCGAUAGACCCGGAGAUGGAUGUCGGGAUCGGGCUGAGGUACGACUGGGGCAAGUUCUACGCGUCCAAGACCUUCUACGACCCCUCCAAGAACCGCCGCGUGCUCUGGGGGUGGAUCGGCGAGACCGACUCCGAGCGCGCCGACGUCGCCAAGGGAUGGGCGUCCCUCCAGUCGAUCCCGAGGACGGUGGAGCUGGAUGAGAAGACCCGGACCAACCUCAUCCAGUGGCCCGUGGUCGAGAUCGAGACGCUCCGCAUCAACUCCACCGACCUCGGCGGCACCACCAUCGACACCGGCAGUGUGCUCCCUCUCCCGCUCCGUCGUGCCACCCAACUCGACAUCGAGGCCACCUUCCACCUCGACACCUCCGCUGUUGCCACUGUGAACGAAGCCGACGUUGGCUACAACUGCAGCACCAGCGGUGGUGCCGCCAACCGUGGCGCUCUCGGCCCCUUCGGACUCCUCGUCCUCGCUGACGGCGCCCUCAAGGAGCAGACGGCGGUGUACUUCUACGUGUCGAGGGGCCUCGAUGGCGGCCUCCAGACCCAUUUCUGCCAGGACGAGUCACGGUCGUCGCUGGCCCAGGACGUCGUGAAGCGGGUGGUCGGCUUCACUGUGCCAGUGCUCGACGGUGAGGAUCUAUCCCUCAGGGUGCUGGUGGACCACUCGAUCGUGGAGACCUUCGCCAUGGGUGGAAGGUCCACCGCGACGUCGAGGGUGUACCCGACAGAGGCCAUCUACGCCGCCGCUGGCGUUUACCUUUUCAACAACGCCACCGGUGCCGCCGUCACCGUCGAGAAGCUCGUGGUGCACGAGAUGGACGACUCCUACAACCAGAUCUUCACGGCCGACGACGCCUCGGCCGCCUUGUAG
rnacentral:rRNA from 1 species